rnacentral:rRNA from 1 species
CAGUCGCCGCGGGAACACGAAGGGGGCUAGCGUUGUUCGGAAUCACUGGGCGUAAAGCGCACGUAGGCGGACACUUAAGUCAGAGGUGAAAUCCCAAGGCUCAACCUUGGAACUGCCUUUGAUACUGGGUGUCUUGAGUUCGGGAGAGGUGAGUGGAACUGCGAGUGUAGAGGUGAAAUUCGUAGAUAUUCGCAAGAACACCAGUGGCGAAGGCGGCUCACUGGCCCGAUACUGACGCUGAGGUGCGAAAGCGUGGGGAGCAAACAGGAUUAGAUACCCCUGUAGUCCCUGUCUCUUAUAC